GACUGGCAGGCGCGUUACGGGGAUCAGGACGGCGGCAGGGGCAGUGUGGGAGCCGUGUUCAAGGUCCAGCCCAGGGAGACCUUCAACGUUCACGUCCGCUGGCCCAAUGGAACGAAGGCCAACUACCGCUAUCGCCCACCCGGCACAAAGGAAAUUGAGCUGGAGGAACACGUCGUUGUGGGGACUGCCACUGUCCUGGCUGCCCUUCAGCUGGUGGGAGCCAUAGGAGGGGAUGACAGCAGUGAUGACGACAGCCCGCCGUCCUCAGCCCGGUCUACAAAGUCUCGCGCCUGCAGUAUCAUGUAGACGGCACUACCGUGAACCUCAGACAAAGGGUUGUACAGAAACGUUUGAAUGCGUCGCGAUGUUGUCAAUCGAGUGUGCUUUGCAGCCUCUGCCACCGCUUGAAACUUUCUCACAGUACGUCAUGUCCUGAAUGGAUGUCCCUGUAGCUCAACUGGUAGCAACCUAACAGAUGAGCGCCUGGUCCCAAAGAGUUUGUAAUUGGGAGACCCCCGGUCAAAGCCUGGGAAGGGCAUUUCGGUUAAGGCUGCACCCGUCUUUCGGGUGGGAUAUUAAAUGGGGAUCCCGUAUCCGAGGAGAUGUCUAGAGCACGUUAAAGGGGAAUGGCUAGCAAAGCAUUCCUGUAAAAGAAAUACCCUGCCGUGUACUGAAACAACAGCAAGGUCGCCAAGGAAAUUUGACUUGACUUGCGGCUUGGCGCACAUUGAUACCCUAAGAUAUUGAUACACACAUUGAUACCCUAAGAAUGUACUGUAUAAUGAAUAGGGACCAAUAAUGGAGUUGUGUUAAACUCUGGAUUUGCUUUACCCAAACAGACUUGACAAAUAUGGCUUUGCAAGUGAGGUUAAGACCUGAGGUUUCAAACAUUGGUGUGUUUUUAAGCGAUUGUUUUCGAUGUACAUCUUCAGGUCCAUAUUUUGUAAUCCAUUGUUGUUUCUACCAUCAAAUGUUUUGUAUCCUACAUGAGCCACUGUUUCCUAUCCAACCAAUUAUUACCUCCGUCGGGAGAAUUUGCGGAUAUUGCAGCGGAAGACGAAAGUCAUUUCACCUAAUGAGGAAAAAAGAAACCAAUUACUUACAGAAGCGUCAAAAAUCUAUUUUUGCUUCCCCAUCAUUACAGAUGAACAAAGAAUCAUCUUUCUAAUGAAAUUUAAGGAUCGCACAUAUUAUUGAAGAAGCAGUUGAAUUCGUCUUCCCCCGCCUCCUACGAAGAAGUCAAUCCCUACAAAGGCAGUUCUAGAUCUUAGUACUUUUCUUUCUUGGUAUAGAUGUUAUCUGUUAAUGUCACUUUACUCAUCAUCAUCAUUCCAUGCUAUUUGUGCUUGUGCUUAUCAUAGCCAUUGGGCAUGUAUUUGCAAAUAAAAGAUUAUUACUUUUA